AGCGAAUAGAUACCCGGGUAGUCCCAGCCGUAAACGAUGCUCGCUAGGUGUCAGGCAUGGCGCGACCGUGUCUGGUGCCGCAGGGGAAGCCGUGAAGCGAGCCACCUGGGAAGUACGGCCGCAAGGCUGAAACUUAAAGGAAUUGGCGGGGAGCACAACAACGGGUGGAGCCUGCGGUUUAAUUGGACUCAACGCCGGACAACUCACCGGGGGCGGACAGCAAUAUGUAGGCCAAGCUGAAGACUUUGCCUGAAUCGCUGAGAGGAGGUGCAUGGCCGUCGCCAGUUCGUACUGUGAAGCAUCCUGUUAAGUCAGGCAACGAGCGAGACCCGUGCCCACUGUUACCAGCAUGUCCUCGGUAGUGAUGGUACGUCU
rnacentral:rRNA from 1 species